GACGAACGCUGGCGGCGUGCCUAAUACAUGCAAGUAGAACGCUGAAGGAGGAGCUUGCUUCUCUGGAUGAGUUGCGAACGGGUGAGUAACGCGUAGGUAACCUGCCUGGUAGCGGGGGAUAACUAUUGGAAACGAUAGCUAAUACCGCAUAAUAGCAGUUGUUGCAUGACAACUGUUUGAAAGGUGCAAUUGCACCACUACCAGAUGGACCUGCGUUGUAUUAGCUAGUUGGUGGGGUAACGGCUCACCAAGGCGACGAUACAUAGACGACCUGAGAGGGGGAUCAGCCACACUGGGACUGGGACACGGCCCAGACUCCUACGGGAGGCAGCCGUAGGGAAUCUUCGGCCAUGGGCGGAAGUCUGACCGAGCAACGCCGCGUGAGUGAAGAAGGUUUUCGGAUCGUAAAGCUCUGUUGUAAGAGAAGAACGAGUGUGAGAGUGGAAAGUCCACACUGUGACGGUAUCUUACCAGAAAGGGACGGCUAACUACGUG
rnacentral:rRNA from 1 species